GCCAGAGAGCUCUUCUUUUCUGUGACAUAAGUUUGCCUUUCAGGCGUGUCACAAUCACUUAACCAUCACUCACACCCACUUUGCAUGGACACCUAUAUCAAAUUGAUUGUUGUUUACAAGGCCUUGGAACUAGACUAGUUCCUCAUGGCCCUUACUUCACUGUUAUGUAUCACACAAUGACAAGACACUUUUAGACCAAACAUCCAAAUUACAGAAAAUAAAAGGGACAGAGAAACAACUUAAAUGACGCCAUGAGGAAGUAAUCAGACAAAUCCAGAAUGUGUGACAUCUAAGAGAAGAUUACCCUGGACUCCUCAAAAGUCACUGUCAUGGGGAUGUAGCUUGGGCAGGAAUAAUCUAUGCAAUGAUCCAACGCUGGAAGCUCCCAGUUUGAGGAAAUGGUCUCACGAGAAAUAUGGAGCCUCCAGGGUCCAGUGGCUGGUGUCAGGCUCCUCGUCCCUGGAACUAACUUACACUUGCUGAGAAGCUCUCUGCUAAGCUACUGAAGAGAACCUCCAAGAGCAUUGGGGAAUCUCAUCAGAGGACAAUUGGAAAAUUUUAAAAUGCACAGGAUACUAAAUAAAAUGGUUG
rnacentral:lncRNA from 1 species